GACGCCGCGGAGGAAACGUGAACGCUUUCGCGGAACAAAAGUAGGCAUAAACUCGGGACUUCGCAGAGCUGUGAGCCAAGUGGAAAAGAAAGGUUUACAAAGCCUUUUAGAGCUACUUCUGUUUCCUAUUUCGAGUCUGUGCCCCUAACCUCAGAGAAUCUGGAGAGAUGACUGUACGCCUAACAGGUUAUAAUUCUAGAUUUGUUUUGUGUCUUUUUUUUUUUUUGGUCAUGUCAGGAGCGACUUGAGAAAUUGCAAGUCACUUCUGGUGUCUAUAUAAGGCAUUAAACAAUUGACAUAUGUAAGCUGUCUUGAGUUCCCCUUGGGGUAGGGAAAAGCAGGGUAUAAAUAUCCCAAACAGUUCAUAAUUCUAAGGGCUUUCUUUUGGGGAUUUUAUUCUGAAAAAUUUCAUAUUCUUUUAACAGUUUAUAAUUCUGGGAUCCCCCCCCCCCUUUUUUUUAAUGCACCCUUAAUAGCCCAAAAAACUCACAGCAACUCACUGUUAACUGUUUGGCAUAAUGGGUUACAAAAAGUUCUUUGCAACUCUCCCUCAUCUGUAUUUUAUUAUUUAUGCAGAAUCUUAAAGUCUAACUUUAGAGCUCUGUCCUUCAAAAAUGAAAUUCAAUGAAAAAUUACUUUAUAAUUAUAAAAUAUGUAUUUUGCUCCCCCCUCCAAAAACAGUAUACUCUCUUUUUGUUGUAGGCAAACCUUUCACAGGGUUUUUCUGGGAAGAUUUGUACAGAAGGGGUUCCACGUCUGCCUCAAAGGCUGAGAGAGUGUGCAGUUUAUCAAUCUGGGAUUUAUUUCCCAAAACACACUGUAGCAAUGCCUUUAUUAGACCCAUUAAAAUAUGGAAAAUAUUAUGUAAAUGUUAAAGCUCAUAAGCUUUUUCAUUAAACAUACACAAACUUCUAAGUAAAUGCUAUUGGGUUGUGCUUUAAAACUAACCUGAUAGUAAUAUCUUCUUUGCUGUUCUAGUCAUCUCAACCCGGCAAAACAGCUUUAUGUUUUUAACUGGUUAUGGGAGGAGUACUAGUUUUUGUAAGUGACAACACUAAGCAAUGCUUUUAAUUGAAUAUAUGUAAAUUCAAGGUAGUGUUUUUAGAUUGCAUUCUUGUAACAUUGUAUGUAUGGGCAAAAGAAUUUACAGGACUGAAAAUAUGCAUUCAUGUUGAAAGCAACCAUAAAUUGGGUAUUUUUAAAAUUAUUUGAACAGCAGGUACUUGUGAUAAAAAUAGUUUCAGUACAAUAACUUUAUUUGUGGACUUCAUUCCAUUUGAAAAAGUUGUCUCAAAUUAUAAAUGUCUCCUCAAAUAAUUUAAUUGUUUUGUUUUUCCCUUGAGCUUUCAGGAAGCAUUGAGUCUUCUUUCAUGUCCAGUUGAUUUUCAAAAUGAUUCCUAUCCUGUAAUUUUAUAAGUAUUUGUAUUUUUAGAAAUUAAUGGGAUGUGUUCAGUUGUUUUGUUGCAAGGGUCUGUUUUUGGUUGAUCAAAAGGUCUUUAAUUAAUCUAACCAGUGAUGAGUCACUUAAAACACUAAUUACAAAGAAAACUUGAUGCACACUGAAAAAAUAGAAGUACCUUGAGUGGCAAUUGAAAAUAAUGGGGAUAAAAGGAAAAUUUGUUUUCAGUUUAAGUACUACACAUUUAGAAGUGAACUAAAGAACUAUGUGCCAGUUAAUGAUAAUGCAAAUGUUUGGCAUAAUGGGUUACAAAAAGUUCUUCGCAACUCUCCCUCAUCUGUAUUUUAUUAUUUAUGCAGAGUUUUAAAGUCUUAAGUUUAAAAAAUGACAUACAAGGAAAAAUUAGUGGCAUAAACAACACAGACAAUAUACAUUCUGAGAAGCUGUGCUGAAAUACAAAGCUGAUUAGUGGUAGCAUUGAAAAGGAAGGUUUUGGAGAGUCAUCUGAACACAUGGAAAGAAGGUGUAAGGCAUAACCCUGCUUUUCCAAACCUGGUGUUUUAAAAAUAUAGUGACUUCUAUAGAGUAUUGGCCAGAUUCUAGACAUAGAACUGCAUAUGGGAUGUAGUUUGGCAUGCCAAAUAAUUUGUGGAGGAAUUUCGAGUGGAAAGAUCUGAUGGCACUAUUAUUAGGGGUUAACCAAAUGGGAGCUCCAUAGAGUAGUUAUGCUAUUGCCUUUGUUUUUCAAACAAAUAGGAAGUUCCCUUUUUUACAAUUUAUACUGUUUUAUUUUACUGUUUUGCUAUAUAUAUGCCAAUAAAGAUCUAUUGGAUUGGAUUGGAUUGGAUUAAAAUAUGUUGCACCACAAUUCCCAGAAUCCCCAAUGGAGAUGGUACUUGGUUUGGGAAGGCUGAUUUAAGCCAAGAGGAUUAACUUUAUACUCCUAUUUAAAAAUAUGUUACUUAAUAAAUGACAAAAUUAUGACUCACACCCAGUUUGACUGCAUGCUGUUUCCUUUCAUAACUCAUGGCAGCGUUGGCUUCCAAGACAAUAUAUCAAAUGUCAAAAAUGUGUCCAAUGUCACAUGUGCGAGUCACAUCAGUUACUACUUGCUAUCUAGCCGAACAUGCUUAUUGCAUAAACUCAGACGAGUGUAUAUCUGAAGAUUGUGGCAAAAUUAGAAUUAAAGCUGUACAACUUUGCUGCCAUUGCAGUAUAUGUAAAUCACAUAUCUUGAGUAUGUAAGAUUUGCUUCCAGCUGGACUAUGUUUUGCUCCCUUCGAAAAAGCAUAGUACAAAACCAUGCUGAUAGGUAUGCUACUGGAAUAUAUUAUCCAGUCUUCCUAGAUAGAAGCUCCACUUUUUACUGUCCAAAUAAUAUAUAAGACAUCUAAAUGAUAUCUUAUGCAUUGUUUUAUUAUAUAUCAUUUAUAUGCAUUAUUGAUGGCAAUGGUUGUCAACCUUUGAUCCUCUGUGGAUUUGGAUUCCAAGUUCCAGAAUCCCUAUUCGCUUUGAGGAGCUGAAAUCAAGAAUAUUUGGAUCUCACAGCUUUUCAAACAACAGAACUGGGAACAAAUACAUAGGUUUCCGCAUCAUUCCAAAAUUACCCUCAGCUUUACUGAAACUUGCAAUGCUUCCAUGUUCGUGUUGACUAUUUUAGGGCCUUUCUUAGGAUCUUCAAUAACCUUUAUGGUGGGCUGAAGAAAUGUUAACCUUGUAUUAUCUCAUUGUCUUCAAUGCUCUUUUGGGCCAAGCCAUCUCAUCCUUUUUACACAAGGAUGUGACUUGAAUGCUGGUUAGCCUCCUGUUCGUGAAAAGUCCAUGUUGCAUGCUAUAAUGAAAUUUAGAGCAAAUAUGCUAAGCACUCCAUUGCGGUUGUGCAGGGAUAAUCACAGAUAAAUGUAAAAUCAAGUCUACUGGCAAAAAAUCUUUUUUAUGGUUCCAAGAAAGAAGAACUGCUGACGAGAUCCUUUGAGGUUGUUGAAUCAACUGAAAUUACCAAAUUCUCACUCAAGUCACAUAUUGAGUGGGGGAGAGAAAAAAUACAGCAGAUACAUUAUGGCUUUGGUCUUUGCCUGUGCUGGUUCUGAGAAGGAAGAGGAAAACUCAGGAGAGGAAUAUCUAGUGGAAACAUUGCUUUUCCUAACAAGUCUAUACUAGAUUUGCCUAAAAUAGUGACAUUCUCAAAGUAUUUAGAUCUUUUAAAUGUUAAAAAUGCACUAGAAACAGGAGGAUAUGGACAGAAUGGUAGAUAUUCUUGACCCAAUGUAUGUCAGCAUAAGUAACUUUGGUGUGCUUCUUCAAAACACAAACCACCCACAAAGAGCAUGGUGACCUACCCAUAAGUAGUUCUUAAUUACACCAUUGUGGUUAUGAAACAGAACGGCCUACCAAUAAUAUGGGAGUUUCAAAAGCACAUGGAACACUGGAAUUUGGCUUGGUGUCAAAUCCUGAUACAACCGCUGAUUUAUUAUGGGUAGGGUUGAUGAUAUGCCAGAGAUGCAUGGGGAACCCUAGUUGUUGGUUAGUUAAGAGCAGUGCUUUGGUGAAUAUUGCUCAAUUGCUCCAGCCAUUGCAUGGGAAAGACACAAAGCCAAGGAUGCAUGCUAAUAACAUUUAGUGACUCCUAUUGCUACUGGGAGCAGUUGAGCAUAUAUGCCAGUGGUUCUUAUUUGUAUUAUCUGAACUAGGUCAUUAAGUGACUUGCAACUAGUUAUGCCCCAGCUUCACAACAAUGUGUCUAAAAACUCUUGUCAAUUAUUUGACAAAGUUUUAGACAUGUUUCUAUGAAGCUAGGACAUAAAAUUAGGGUUGUAACUCAUUUUAGUGAAAUGUAUACAUACGGAAAUAGCGAUCAAUAUUUUACAAAUUGUAUGUCUCUUGUAGGGGUUUUAUAUUAACUUUAUUGCCGUAUUUCAUUCAACACUUACUCAGUGUUGUCUUUGCCUAAAUGGUGGCAAAAGUGGUUAUCCACUGGAUAAUCCUUAGCAUCAUAUAAAUUUUGAAAGCGAGGGAAUCCGUUUUUCAAUGAUCACUUGUACUUUGUUCAGCAUUGCAUAUUUAAGGUUAUUACACAGGGUCUGAAGUCAAAACAAGAGCCAAAGUACUUCUUGCCAACAGUUACCAACAAAAUCUAGAUUAAUUAAUCCCAAUAAUGCCAGACUUCAAAGGCUGAUCACAGCUAUCUUCAUAAUUUUACUAUGAGGGUUCAAGAGAUAUGACACCACACCCCACUUCCUUAUCUCGUCCAUGACCAGCAUCAUUUUAAAUUAAUUACAUUUGGCCCAGCCAUAGAUUGUAAAGUGUCUUGUACUAUUGUCAAUGCUUACGUUAUUGUCGAUGUGAUUUAUUUUAAAUGCAUGUAUUGCUAUUGUUAUUGCUUGUAUUAUUGUAUUGUGGGCUCGGCCUCAUGUAAGCCGCACCAAGUCCCUUGGGGAGAUGGUAGCGGGGUAUAAAUAAAGUAUUAUUAUUAUUAUUAUUAUUUUAAAUAAUUAUACCCUUAACUGUGUUUUGUACUGGUAAUGCUUUUCAUUGCACAAAAUAAUAAAGAACUUAGACAACA